rnacentral:rRNA from 1 species
UUUUAAUUGAAGACUUGUAUGAAUGGUUGAACGAGAAAAUAACUGUCUCUUUAAAAAAUCUUGAAUUUUACUUUUAAGUGAAAAGGCUUAAAUAAUUUUAAGGGACGAUAAGACCCUAUAAAUCUUUAUAUUAUUUUUCUUUAAGUUUCAAAUUAUAUAUUAAAAGAAAACAAAGAAAAAAAUAUUGUAUUGGGGAGAUAAAAAUAUAAUUUUUAACUGUUUUAAAUAAAAAACAAUAAUUUUUGAUUUAUUAAAAAUUGAUCCUUUUUAAAGAUUUUAAGACUAAGUUACUUUAGGGAUAACAGCGUAAUUUUUUUUGAGAGUUCUUAUCGAAAAAAAAGUUUGCGACCUCGAUGUUGAAUUAAAAUAUCCUUAUAAGUGCAGAAGCUAUAA